AUGAACGCUGGCGGCAUGCUUAACACCUGCAAGUCGAACGGGAAGUGGUGUUUCCAGUGGCGAACGGGUGAGUAACGCGUAAGAACCUGCCCUUGGGAGGGGAACAACAACUGGAAACGGUUGCUAAUACCCCGUAGGCUGAGGAGCAAAAGGAGAAAUCCGCCCAAGGAGGGGCUCGCGUCUGAUUAGCUAGUUGGUGAGGUAAUAGCUUACCAAGGCGAUGAUCAGUAGCUGGUCCGAGAGGAUGAUCAGCCACACUGGGACUGAGACACGGCCCAGACUCCUACGGGAGGCAGCAGUGGGGAAUUUUCCGCAAUGGGCGAAAGCCUGACGGAGCAAUGCCGCGGGGAGGUGGAAGGCCUACGGGUCGUCAACUUCUUUUCUCGGAGAAGAAACAAUGACGGUAUCUGAGGAAUAAGCAUCGGCUAACUCUGUG
rnacentral:rRNA from 1 species